GAUGAACGCUGGCGGCGUGCCUAAUACAUGCAAGUCGAGCGAACGGACGAGAAGCUUGCUUCUCUGAUGUUAGCGGCGGACGGGUGAGUAACACGUGGAUAACCUACCUAUAAGACUGGGAUAACUUCGGGAAACCGGAGCUAAUACCGGAUAAUAUUUUGAACCGCAUGGUUCAAAAGUAAAAGACGGUCUUGCUGUCACUUAUAGAUGGAUCCGCGCUGCAUUAGCUAGUUGGUAAGGUAACGGCUUACCAAGGCAACGAUGCAUAGCCGACCUGAGAGGGUGAUCGGCCGCACUGGAACUGAGACACGGUCCAGACUCCUACGGGAGGCAGCAGUAGGGAAUCUUCCGCAAUGGGCGAAAGCCUGACGGAGCAACGCCGCGUGAGUGAUGAAGGUCUUCGGAUCGUAAAACUCUGUUAUUAGGGAAGAACAUAUGUGUAAGUAACUGUGCACAUCUUGACGGUACCUAAUCAGAAAGCCACGGCUAACUACGUG
rnacentral:rRNA from 1 species